rnacentral:snRNA from 1 species
AACGGAAUCACAACUUUGCGAAA